rnacentral:rRNA from 1 species
GACGAACGCUGGCGGCGUGCUUAACACAUGCAAGUCGAACGGAAAGGCCCUGCUUUUGUGUGGUGCUCGAGUGGCGAACGGGUGAGUAACACGUGAGUAACCUGCCCUUGACUUUGGGAUAACAUCAGGAAACUGGGGCUAAUACCUGAUAGGAGCUCCUGCUGCAUGGUGGGGGUUGGAAAGUUUCGGCGGUUGGGGAUGUACUCGCGGCUUAUCAGCUUGUUGGUGGGGUAGUGGCUUACCAAGGCUUUGACGGAUAGCCGGCCUGAGAGGGGGAACGGCGACAUGGGGACUGAGGUAGGGACCAGACGCGUACGGGAGGCAGCAGGGGGGAGUAUUGCACAAUGGGCGGAAGCGUGAUGAAGCAAUGCCGCGUGCGGGAUGACGGCCUUCGGGUUGUAAACCGCUUUAGCCUGUGACGAAGCGUGAGUGACGGUAAUGGGUAAAGAAGCACCGGCUAACUACGUG